AUGUUGAUGGAGUUAUCUCUGGCAAGUUCACACACGGCAAGUUUUACUAUUAUCAAUGGAAGAAGUUCUGAUAUGUCCACCACUGAGGCCAGACCAGUAGGCCAUAUGGGUUGCUUCUUGAUUCUAACCACGAAGAAUUUUAUUUUGUUAGGAAGGGUUCAUUUUCUCUCUUCCGGUGUUUGGAAGAUCUGGAGCAACUUAUUUAUGGUUCUUCAGAUGAAUGGGGGAAAUCUCGGUGGUGUUGGAAUGAACUUACUGGACGACAUACCUGACUCUGGAACCCUCAUUGAAGUCCUUAGGUGCAUGUGCCAUAUAUUAAAGAAACUGGCUAACGUGUUUGCUCACCCCAUUCACAAACAUGGAGGCAAGUGCCUGUCGUGCCCAAGUUUAGGCAAGAGUGGCUGCACAUGUGGGGUCUGUUGA
rnacentral:rRNA from 1 species